UUAAGCAUAUCAAUAAGCGGAGGAAAAGAAACUAACAAGGAUUCCCUUAGUAACUGCGAGUGAAGAGGGAAAAGCUCAAAUUUAAAAUCUGGCAGUCGUUGGCUGUCCGAGUUGUAAUCUAGAGAAGUGUUACCCGUGCUGGACCAUGUACAAGUCUCCUGGAAUGGAGCAUCGCAGAGGGUGAGAAUCCCGUCUUUGACAUGGACUACCAGUGCUUUUGUGGUAUGCUCUCAAAGAGUCGAGUUGUUUGGGAAUGCAGCUCAAAAUGGGUGGUAAAUGCCAUCUAAAGCUAAAUAUUGGCGAGAGACCGAUAGCGAACAAGUACCGUGAGGGAAAGAUGAAAAGAACUUUGGAAAGAGAGUUAAACAGUACGUGAAAUUGCUGAAAGGGAAACGCUUGAAGUCAGUCACAUUGACUUGGAAUCAACUCUGCUUUUGCUGGGUGUAUUUUCUUGUCAAUGGGUCAGCAUCAAUUUUGACCAUUGGAUAAAGUUAUUGGGAAUGUGGCAUCUUUGGAUGUGUUAUAGCCUGAUGAUGCAUACAGUGGUUGGGAUUGAGGAAUUCAGCAUGCCGCAAGGCCGGGUUUUUGACCACGUUCAUGCUUAGGAUGCUGGCAUAAUGGCUUUAAUCGACCCGUCUUGAAACACGGACCAAGGAGUCUAACAUACCUGCGAGUGUUUGGGUGGUAAACCCAUGUGCGUAAUGAAAGUGAAAGUUGAGAACCCUUUGGGGAGCAUCGACGCCCGGACCAGACCUUUUGUGACGGAUCCGCGGUAGAGCAUGUAUGUUGGGACCCGAAAGAUGGUGAACUAUGCCUGAAUAGGGUGAAGCCAGAGGAAACUCUGGUGGAGGCUCGUAGCGAUUCUGACGUGCAAAUCGAUCGUCAAAUUUGGGUAUAGGGGCGAAAGACUAAUCGA
rnacentral:rRNA from 1 species